GAUGAACGCUGGCGGCGUGCCUAAUACAUGCAAGUCGAGCGAAUGGAUUAAGAGCUUGCUCUUAUGAAGUUAGCGGCGGACGGGUGAGUAACACGUGGGUAACCUGCCCAUAAGACUGGGAUAACUCCGGGAAACCGGGGCUAAUACCGGAUAACAUUUUGAACCGCAUGGUUCGAAAUUGAAAGGCGGCUUCGGCUGUCACUUAUGGAUGGACCCGCGUCGCAUUAGCUAGUUGGUGAGGUAACGGCUCACCAAGGCAACGAUGCGUCGCCGACACGAGAGGGGGAUCGGCCACACUGGGACUGAGACACGGCCCAGACUCCUACGGUAGGCAGCAGUAGGGAAUCUUCCGCAAUGGACGAAAGUCUGACGGAGCAACGCCGCGUGAGUGAUGAAGGCUUACGGGUCGUAAAACUCUGUUGUUAGGGAAGAACAAGUGCUAGUUGAAUAAGCUGGCACCUUGACGGUACCUAACCAGAAAGCCACGGCUAACUACGUGCCAGCCGCCGCGGUAA
rnacentral:rRNA from 1 species